UACGUAGGGUGCAAGCGUUGUCCGGAAUUAUUGGGCGUAAAGAGCUCGUAGGCGGUUUGUCGCGUCUGCUGUGAAAACUCGGGGCUUAACCCCGGGCCUGCAGUGGGUACGGGCAGACUAGAGUGCGGUAGGGGAGACUGGAAUUCCUGGUGUAGCGGUGAAAUGCGCAGAUAUCAGGGAGGAACACCGGUGGCGAAGGCGGGCUCUGGGCCGUAACUGACGCUGGAGGAGCGAAAGCGUGGGGAGCGAACAGG
rnacentral:rRNA from 1 species